rnacentral:rRNA from 1 species
UACGGAGGGUGCAAGCGUUAUCCGGAUUUACUGGGUUUAAAGGGUGCGUAGGUGGGUAAGAAAGUCAGUGGUGAGAUCUCCGGGCUUAACCCGGAAACUGCCAUUGAUACUGAUGGGCUUGAGUACAGUUGAGGUAGGCGGAAUGUGUCAUGUAGCGGUGAAAUGCUUAGAUAUGACACAGAACACCGAUUGCGAAGGCAGCUUGCUAAACUGUAACUGACGCUGAGGCACGAAAGCGUGGGUAGCAAACAGG